AUUGAACGCUGGCGGCAUGCUUUACACAUGCAAGUCGAACGGCAGCGCGGGCUUCGGCCUGGCGGCGAGUGGCGAACGGGUGAGUAAUACAUCGGAACGUGCCCAGUAGUGGGGGAUAGCUCGGCGAAAGCCGGAUUAAUACCGCAUACGACCUGAGGGUGAAAGCGGGGGAUCUUCGGACCUCGCGCUAUUGGAGCGGCCGAUGGCCGAUUAGCUAGUUGGUGGGGUAAAGGCCUACCAAGGCGACGAUCUGUAUCUGGUCUGAGAGGACGACCAGCCACACUGGGACUGAGACACGGACCAGACUCCUACGGGAGGCAGCAGUGGGGAAUUUUGGACAAUGGGCGAAAGCCUGAUCCAGCAAUGCCGCGUGUGUGAUGAAGGCCUUCGGGUUGUAAAGCACUUUUGGCGGGAACGAAAAGGACUGUGCCAAUACCACGGUUCGAUGACGGUACCCGCAGAAUAAGCACCGGCUAACUACGUG
rnacentral:rRNA from 1 species